AUUGAACGCUGGCGGCAGGCCUAACACAUGCAAGUCGAGCGGAGCGGCGGACGGGCGGGUAAUGCCUAGGUAUCUGCCUGGUUGUUGGGGAUAACUUCCGGCUACGGGCGGUAACUCCGCAUACUUUCAGUUGAGUCUAGGGCGGAUUGGCUAGUUGGUGGGGGAAAGGCCUACUAAGGCGACGAUCCGUACCUGGUCUGAGAGGAUGAUCAGCCACACUGGAACUGAGACACGGUCCAGACUCCUACGGGAGGCAGCAGUGGGGAAUAUUGGACAAUGGGCGAAAGCCUGAUCCAGCCAUGCCGCGUGUGUGAAGAAGGUCUUCGGAUUGUAAAGCACUUUAAGUUGGGAGGCGUUACCCACAGAAUAAGCACCGGCUAACUUCGUGCCAGCAGCCGCGGUAAUUC
rnacentral:rRNA from 1 species